rnacentral:rRNA from 1 species
GUCCACACCGUAACGUUGGGCGCUAGGUGUGGGCUCAUUCCACGAGUUCCGUGCCGCAGCUAACGCAUUAAGCGCCCCGCCUGGGGAGUACGGCCGCAAGGCUAAACUCAAGGAAUUGACGGGGCCCGCACAAGCGGCGGAGCAUGCGGAUUAAUUCGAUGCAACGCGAAGAACCUUACCUGGGUUUGACAUACGCCGGAAAGCCGUAGAGAUACGGCCCCUUUUAGUCGGUGUACAGGUGGUGCAUGGCUGUCGU